rnacentral:lncRNA from 1 species
UCUAUUUUGUCAUCAGUAACAACAUAUUAAAAUUAGGGAAGCUUUGGUAGAACAGUUAAUUAGAAAAUGCACGGACACGACUGGAAACUCCAUUUUUCAAUCUUUCAAGAACCAUAACUCCUGAACGGUAAAAGUCAAAAUCGUCAUUUUUGAACUAGACCUCCAUUUUGUCAUCAGUAACAACAUAUUAAAAUUUGGGAAGCUUUGGUAGAACAGUUCAUGCAUAAAUGCACAGACACGACUGGAAACUCCAUUUUUCAAUCUUUCAAGAACCAUAACUCCUGAACGGUAAAAGUCAAAAUCGCCAUUAUUGAACUUGACCUUCAUUUAGUUGUCAGUAACAACAUAUUAAAAUUUUAAAAGCUUUGGUUGAACGGUUCAUGAGUUAAUGCACGGACAACAUUUGAUUGCCGCCCGCAUGACUGACCGUCCGCACGCCGUACAUCCCCAAUUCAAUAACCGACAUUUUUGUCACAAAAAUCCAGUUAAAAACAAUUUGUGUUUAUCUUUGAAAACAAAAAAGUUAUGUCUUUCUUUCAAAAGGGAAAAUACGACCACAAAUCCGAAUUUUGAGCAAAUAUACAAAAUUUCCACCUCUUUUUACUCAAAAAGUAGCACAUGAAGGUAUAUUUUUU